rnacentral:rRNA from 1 species
GACGAACGCUGGCGGCGUGCUUAACACAUGCAGUCGAACGGAAAGGCCCUGCUUUUGUGGGGUGCUCGAGUGGCGAACGGGUGAGUAACACGUGGGUAACCUGCCCUUGACUUUGGGAUAACUUCAGGAAACUGGGGCUAAUACCGGAUAGGAGCUCCUGCUGCAUGGUGGGGGUUGGAAAGUUUCGGCGGUUGGGGAUGGACUCGCGGCUUAUCAGCUUGUUGGUGGGGUAGUGGCUUACCAAGGCUUUGACGGGUAGCCGGCCUGAGAGGGUGACCGGCCACAUUGGGACUGAGAUACGGCCCAGACUCCUACGGGAGGCAGCAGUGGGGAAUAUUGCACAAUGGGCGGAAGCCUGAUGCAGCAACGCCGCGUGCGGGAUGACGGCCUUCGGGUUGUAAACCGCUUUCGCCUGUGACGAAGCGUGAGUGACGGUAAUGGGUAAAGAAGCACCGGCUAACUACGUG